AACGUAGGAGGCAAGCGUUAUCCGGAUUUAUUGGGCGUAAAGCGCGUGCAGGCGGUCUAUCAAGUUGGAUGUGAAAGCUCCCGGCUUAACUGGGAGAGGUCGUUCAAAACUGAUAGACUAGAGAAUGGGAGAGGGAGGUGGAAUUCCGGGUGUAGUGGUGAAAUGCGUAGAUAUCCGGAGGAACACCAGUGGCGAAAGCGGCCUCCUAGACCAUUUCUGACGCUAAGACGCGAAAGCUAGGGUAGCAAACGGGAUUAGAUACCCCCGUA
rnacentral:rRNA from 1 species